AUGCUUUUAUUGUUCAUAAGCAUGAUGAUUGGGUCUUCAUACUUUUAUAUGAGAUGUGCCUCCCACUAAACCUAACAAAGUGGGAGUGUUCCCCUGGCAGACA